rnacentral:tRNA from 1 species
GUCCUUAAAUGCUCUAGUGGUUAGAGCGUAGGUCUCGUAACCGAAAGGUUGCAGGAUCGAAUCCCGCCAGAGGCU